rnacentral:rRNA from 1 species
UACGUAGGGGCCGAGCGUUGUCCGGAGUUAUUGGGCGUAAAGCGCGCGCAGGCGGCUUCGCGCGCCCGACGUGAAAGCCCCCGGCUUAACCGGGGAGAGUCGUUGGGGACGGCGGAGCUUGAGGGCGGGAGAGGUCGGUGGAAUUCCCGGUGUAGUGGUGAAAUGCGUAGAGAUCGGCAGGAACACCCAGGGGGAAACCAGUCGACUGGGCAUCUACUGACGCUGAGGUGCGAGAGCGUGGGGAGCGAACCGG